rnacentral:tRNA from 1 species
GGGGUUGUGGCUCAGUGGUGGAGCACUUACCUUGCAAGUGUGAGGUACUGGGUUUGAUCCUCAGCAGCUCAU